rnacentral:rRNA from 1 species
AACGAACGCUGGCGGCAGGCCUAACACAUGCAAGUCGAGCGAAGCCUUCGGGCUUAGCGGCGGACGGGUGAGUAACGCGUGGGAACGUGCCCUUUGGUACGGAAUAGCCUCGGGAAACUGGGAGUAAUACCGUAUGUGGUCGAGAGACGAAAGAUUUAUCGCCAAAGGAUCGGCCCGCGUUGGAUUAGGUAGUUGGUGGGGUAAUGGCCUACCAAGCCGACGAUCCAUAGCUGGUUUGAGAGGAUGAUCAGCCACACUGGGACUGAGACACGGCCCAGACUCCUACGGGGGGCAGCAGUGGGGAAUCUUAGACAAUGGGGGAAACCCUGAUCUAGCCAUGCCGCGUGAUCGAUGAAGGCCUUAGGGUUGUAAAGAUCUUUCAGUGGGGAAGAUAAUGACUGUACCCACAGAAGAAGCCCCGGCUAACUCCGUGCCAGCAGCCGCCGUAACAC